rnacentral:lncRNA from 1 species
UCUGCCCCCGUAAGUUCUGGGAGUUCUUCUGCUUCGAACCCCCAGGCCCCUGCUUCUGCGGAUGAACCCGCGCUCGGGGCAGGGCCUCGCCCGGUUUUCGCACCGGACGCCAUUCCAUGUUCGUCGACUCCGGACGAACUUCUUCUGAUAAGGGCUCGGUACGGGGUUCCUUCAGAGUACGACCUGGAGCUUCCUGGCCCCUCCGACCGGGCCAGCGCUCCCCCUCCUGGUCGCUUUUGUUUGUACCAGG